rnacentral:rRNA from 1 species
GCGUAGGAAACUACCCAGUAGUGGGGACGAACAGUUGGUAACGAACUGCUAAUACCGCAUACGCUCUACGGAGGAAAGGGGCGUUCGGCGUCUCGCUAUUGGAUGUGCCUGCGUGAGAUUAGCUAGUUGGUGGGGUAAAGGCCGUACCAAGGCGACGAUCUCUAGCUGGUCUGAGAGGAUGAUCAGCCACACUGGGACUGAGACACGGCCCAGACUUCCUACGGGGAGGCAGCAGUUGGGGGAAUAUUGGACAAUGGGCGCAAGCCUGAUCCAGCCAUGCCGCGUGUGUGAAGAAGGCCC